rnacentral:lncRNA from 1 species
GCCCACCUUGCUCGCAGGUGCCCUUGCUGACCUGGGUGAUGGCCUUCUCCCCGCGGCUCUCGGCCCUCUGGCUGGCGGCGCGCAGCUGGCAGCCGCUCGGGCAGCCCAGCGGGGGCAGGGGCGGGCAGGAGGCCGGCUCGCAGGGGCCGCAGGUGUCCGAAGAGGAGGAAGAGGAGAGGGGCAGGAGCAGGAGCAGCAGC